ACUCCUACGGGAGGCAGCAGUGGGAAUCUUGGACAAUGGGGGCACCCUGAUCCAGCCAUGCCGCGUGAGUGAUGAAGGCCCUAGGGUCGUAAAGCUCUUUCGCCNGUGAUAUAAUGACAGUAGCAGGUAAAGAAACCCGCGUACANCCGUGCCAGCAGCCGCGGUAAUACGGAGGGGGUUAGCGUUGUUCGGAAUUACUGGGCGUAAAGCGCGCGUA
rnacentral:rRNA from 1 species